UACAGAGGUCUCAAGCGUUGUUCGGAUUCAUUGGGCGUAAAGGGUGCGUAGGUGGCGCCGUAAGUCGGGUGUGAAAUUUCGGAGCUUAACUCCGAAACUGCAUUCGAUACUGCGGUGCUUGAGGACUGGAGAGGAGACUGGAAUUCCCGGUGUAGUGGUGAAAUGCGUAGAUAUCGGGAGGAACACCAGUGGCGAAGGCGACUUCCUGGCCUGUUCUUGACGCUGAGGCGCGAAAGCUAGGGGAGCAAACGGG
rnacentral:rRNA from 1 species